rnacentral:rRNA from 1 species
ACUCCUACGGGAGGCAGCAGUGAGGAAUUUUGCGCAAUGGGCGAAAGCCUGACGCAGCGACGCCGCGUGGAGGAUGAAGUCUUUCGAGAUGUAAACUUCUGUCAGUAGGGAUGAUAAUGACAGUACCUACAGAGGAAGCACCGGCUAACUCCGUGCCAGCAGCCGCGGUAAUACGGAGGGUGCAAGCGUUGUUCGGAAUUACUGGGCGUAAAGCGUACGUAGGCGGCGAAUUAAGUCGAAUGUUAAAGCCCGGGGCUCAACCCCGUGGAUGCCUUCGAUACUGGCUUGCUAGAGGGUGAUAGAGGAAAGUGGAAUUCCGAGUGUAGCGGUGAAAUGCGUAGAUAUUCGGAGGAACAUCAGUAGCGAAGGCGACUUUCUGGGUCACACCUGACGCUGAGGUACGAAAGCGUGGGUAGCAAACAGGAUUAGAUACCCUGGUAGCUACGAG